rnacentral:rRNA from 1 species
UAAAAAAAUCUUCUACUCUAAGACUUAAAUUAUCAAAUAAAUUUAUCACCACUAGAUUUUUCUCUAAAAAGCUUACCCAUCUAAUCCUACAUUUAUUUUUAUAUACUGUUAAAAUAAGUAAAUUAUUACUAUUCCCCUUUCCAACUCGACCCUCUUUAAGGAGCCUGUUUAACAAAAACAUAGCCUACUAUUUAACUUAGGUACAACCCUGCCCUCUGACUUUUAACAGCCGCGGUAUCCUAACCGUGCUAAGGUAGCAUAAUCACUUGCCUAUUAAUUAUAGGCUAGAAUGAACGGGAUCACUCACUUAAACUUAUUUUUAUUUAAAUUUAAAUUAAACUUUAAGUCAAAAUACUAAAUUAAAAAGAAAGACAAAAAGACCCUGAAAACUAUUAGAAAUAAUUAGUUGGGGCAACUAUAGACCACUCUAGCGUCUAUUUUUUUUAACUCUUAAAAUCUAAAGUAUCCAGUUACUUCAGGGAUAACAGACUAAUUUUAUUAUUUAGACCCAAUAAAUAAUAAAGAUUGGCACCUCGAUGUUGGCUUAUAUUUCCUUCAUAUAGCAACAUAUAUAGAAGGCAGCUUGUCAUCCUGUUAAAUAUUUACAUGAGCUGAGUUCAGACCGGCGUAAGA